rnacentral:rRNA from 1 species
AUUGAACGCUGGCGGCAUGCUUUACACAUGCAAGUCGAACGGUAACAGGCCUUCGGGUGCUGACGAGUGGCGAACGGGUGAGUAAUGCAUCGGAACGUACCCAGGGGUGGGGGAUAACGCAGCGAAAGCUGUGCUAAUACCGCAUGUGAUCUGAGGAUGAAAGCGGGGGACCGAGCAGCAAUGUUUGGCCUCGCGCCUUUGGAGCGGCCGAUGUCGGAUUAGCUAGUUGGUGGGGUAAAGGCCUACCAAGGCGACGAUCCGUAGCUGGUCUGAGACGACGACCAGCCACACUGGAACUGAGACACGGCCCAGACUCCUACGGGAGGCAGCAGUGGGGAAUUUUGGACAAUGGGCGCAAGCCUGAUCCAGCAAUGCCGCGUGCGGGAAGAAGGCCUUCGGGUUGUAAACCGCUUUUGGCAGGAACGAAACGGUGUCCGCUAAUACCGGGCGCUAAUGACGGUACCUGCAGAAUAAGCACCGGCUAACUACGUG